ACUGCUAUCAGAGUUCGAUUAAGCCAUGUUAGUCGAGGGUGCUUCUUCCCCUUCGGGGGGAGUAGUAACCCGGCGGACGGCUCAGUAACACGUGGACAACUUAUCCUUCGGACCGGGAUAACCCCUGGGAAACUGGGGCUAAUACCGGAUAGAGCAUUGACCGCUGGAAUGCGCGAUGCUCGAAAGCCGAGACGCCAAAGGAUAGGUCUGCGGCCGAUUAGGUUGUUGUUGAUGUAACGGAUCAACAAGCCUCCGAUCGGUAUGGGUUGUGAGAGCAAUAUCCCAGAGAUGGGUUCUGAGAGAAGAACCCAGGUCCUACGGGACGCAUCAGGCGCGAAAACUUUACAAUGUGCGAAAGCACGAUAAGGGGACUCUGAGUGCCUCCUAAGGAGGCUGUUCAGGUGUUUAAAAAGCAUCUGAAGUAAGGGCUGGGCAAGACCGGUGCCAGCCGCCGCGGUAACACCCGCAGCCCAAGUGGUGGCUACUUUUACUGGGUCUAAAGCGUCCGUAGCCGGCUAAGUAAGUUCCUCUGGGAAAUUUGAUCGCUUAACGAUCAAGCUUCCAGGGAAUACUGCUUGGCUUGGGACCGGGAGAGGUCAGAGGUACCUCAAGGGUAAGGGCGAAAUCCGUUAAUCCUUGGGGGACCGCCAGUAGCGAAGGCGUCUGACCGGACCGGAUCCGACGGUGAGGGACGAAGGCUAGGGUAGCGAACCGGAUUAGAUACCCGGGUAGUCCUAGCUGUAAACGAUGCGGGCUAGGUGUUGGCAUUACUGCGAGUGAUGCCAGUGCCGAAGGGAAGCCGUUAAGCCCGCCAUCUGGGGAGUACGGUCGCAAGGCUGAAACUUAAAGGAAUUGGCGGGGGAGCACUACAACGGUGAGCUGCGU
rnacentral:rRNA from 1 species